UUUGGCCUUUUUGGCUAGAUCUUGUACCUUGCUUCAUUGCGGCCCUUGUUUUCCAUGAGCACUUUAUAAAGAGGCCGCUAUUGAACUACAGAAGACAAAUCUGAGCCCCCUAGAUGCAUACUUAUAUAGAAGCAGACGGAAGUUAGAUGGGUCGUGGCUCAGUUCUUUAAUUUAUAGAUGCCUUUACCCUAAAGGAAGGAGUACAUCGACUGUAUAUUGGUAAUGAUAAGUGAAAAUGACAGGCCGCUGGACUGUAUGCUGCAAUAAAAAGACCAUCUCCAAGAAUGGAAUGCCUGAAAUGGACAAUGUGGCAGAAAACAUGGAAGGAAAAAUGAAGAUGAAGCAAGAAAUUACUUUGCUGAAUGGUGUCUCUUUGAUAGUAGGGAACAUGAUUGGCUCUGGAAUCUUUGUUUCACCCAAAGGUGUUCUAAUGUACAGUGGUUCCUAUGGACUCUCACUAGUCCUUUGGGCUAUUGGUGGGAUCUUUUCAUUGUUUGGAGCUUUAUGUUAUGCUGAAUUGGGAACAUCCAUUGUGAAGUCAGGGGCUAGUUUUGCCUAUAUACUGGAGGCUUUUGGUGCUUUUAUAGCUUUUAUCAGACUAUGGUCUUCCCUGCUAAUUAUUGAACCAACAACACAGGCAGUAAUAGCAAUUACAUUUGCUAAUUACAUCGUUCAACCAGUAUUUCCAUCCUGUGAACCACCAUAUGACGCAGUCAGGUUGAUUGCAGCUGCUUGCAUCUGUUCAAUAACAUUUAUUAACUGUGUCAAUGUGAAAUGGGGAACCAGAGUACAGGAUCUUUUCACAUACGCAAAAAUUCUGGCCCUUAUUGUAAUCAUAGCUGUUGGUCUUUACAAAAUCUCUCAAGGGGAAACGGAAAACCUGAAAACUCCAUUUGAAGGUUCGACAACGGAUGCAGGGUUUAUAGCACUUGGUCUAUAUUCAGCCCUCUUUUCCUACUCUGGAUGGGAUACUCUGAAUUAUGUCACUGAGGAAAUGAAGAAUCCUGAAAGGAACCUACCAAUUUCAAUUGCAAUUUCAAUGCCUAUUGUGGCUAUUAUUUACUUGCUGACUAACAUAGCAUACUAUGUAGUACUGGACAUGGGCACUCUCCUAGCCAGUGAUGCAGUGGCAGUGACAUUUGGUAAUGAAAGCCUUAGUUAUGCUAAGUGGAUAAUUCCUAUUGCAGUGGCCAUGUCAUGUUAUAGUGGAUUGAACUCAUCAGCUAUUGCAGCUUCCAGGCUUUUUUAUGUUGGGGCUCGAGAAGGACACCUUCCUGACAGUUUGAGUUUGAUUCAUGUGAAGUGUUUCACCCCAGUCCCUGCUCUUCUCUUCAAUGGCUUAAUGACUCUGCUUUACCUUCUUGUGGAGGAUGUCUUUCUCCUUAUUAAUUACUACUGCUUCAACUAUUGGCUAUUUGUUGGGCUGUCUAUUGCAGGAUUAAUAUACCUGAGAUACACUCAGCCUGAUAGGCCUCGGCCUAUUAAACUCAGCCUCUUCUUUCCUAUAGUAUAUUGUCUAUGCACCAUUUUCCUGAUCAUGGUUCCUCUCUACAGUGAUACAGUUAAUUCCCUUAUUGGAAUUGGGAUAGCCCUCUCUGGAAUUCCUGUAUAUUAUGUGGGACUUUAUCUCCCACCUGAAAAGAGACCAAGAGUUCUUCGAAGGCUAUCUGGUCACUCAUGAAAAAGUUGAACAAGACAGGCCUCAGGAACGACCCCUAAGGCACUCCACUUGGUACCAGCUACCAACUAGACAUCAAGCCAUUGACUACUACCCUCUGAGCCUGAUGAUCCAGCCAGUUUUCUAUCCACCUUACAGUCCAUUCCUCCAACCUGGACUUCCUUAGCUUGCCUGAGAGAAUGUUGUGGGAGACCAUAUCAAAAGCUUUGCUAAAGUCAAGGUAUGUAAAAUCCACUAGAAUGCCUGUAUCAACAGAACCAGUCAUCUCAUAGAAGGCAAUCAGGCUGGUCAGGUACAACCUGCCUUUGAUGAAUCCAUGCUGACUGUUCCUAAUCACCAUCUCCUACUCCAAGUGCUUAGUAAUAGAUUCCUUGAAGAACUGGUCCAUGAUUUUUCCAGAAGAAACCACAAAAUGAAUAUUGAUCAACCUUGCAGACAACAUCAAAAAACUUGAGUAGAAGAAAGAAUGGAGGGGGAAGGUUCUGGUACAGAGUAAUCUAGUUAGUUCAGUAAAUAAGGGUGCUAGCAAAAAAAUGUGGGAUUUCCCCUCCCCCCCCUCCCCCAAAAUAUGGCCAUAAUUCAAGGCAGACCUCUAGGGAAAAGACUUUAUGCCUUAGUUACAGGAGGAGAGAUGCCCUGCCACCUAGCCUGGCAAGAAAUCUCUCUGGAAAGAGAUUAAGAUAUUGAUAACCAAAUGAGUUUGACUGCACUACUGUGGAUUUAAAACCAGAGGAAUAAAGGGUAGGAGCAGGGAGGUUGCAGCACUUCUGCACUUGGAACAGGUGUGACCACUGCAGGUAUAGUUUCAGUAAUUCAAGCAUUGUACUGGAAAAUGAAGAGGGUUCAUGAGAAAGAUUAAGGAAUUAGAAAAUAGGUCUUCCAUUGGAGACUCAAGAUGCUAACUCUGGUUUAUUAAAGAGUGACUUGGUAUGUCUAUGAGUAAAGUAAAACCUGUCUAAGACAGAACCUAUGAAAACCAGAAUCCUGCUCAAAGCUGAAAAACUUCUACAAUCCCAGCAUCCCUUAUGGGGAAUUAUGUGUAUUUAGUCUAUAUAUGCUGAAAGCUAUCUAAUGCAAAAACAAAAAGAAAACUGGGGCCCACUUAUAAAAAAUCGCCUUCUAAAUCACAGAAGUAAUUACCUAGUUUGUGUGCGUACGUGCAUGGUGAGAUCACAGAGCAGUGAAGCUGGAAAGGAGAGAGAGAGAGAAAGAGAAGCUCUUCCUAUAAGACGGAAGACUGUUUAAGCCAAAACUCCCCCCACACACACCCCAUGCCCUGGUCUCCUGUGAUUCUAUUUUAGACAGGUUUCACUGUAUCUGGGAAGGGAACAGAAAGCUAAUAAGAAGGUUCUUCAGUUUAGCAGGCAAAGGCAUAACAAGAUCCAAUGGCUGGAAGCUGAAGCCAGACAACUCCUCCAAGACUAGAAAUAAGAUACAAAUUUGUAUCAGCAAAAGCAAUUGGCCACUGGAACAUCUUUCAAAGUGCUAUGGAAGGCUCUCCAUCACUGACAAUUUUUGAAUUAGAAUCAGAUGUUUUUUCUAAAACAUAUGCUCUAGGUAAACAUGAGAUAAUUCAAGGAAGAUCUACACAUCUUAUAUGGGAGGUCAGACUUAAGACUUUCAAUAAUGCCUUCUUAUAAUCUGUGACUAAAACUGGCUUUUAUUUAGCGUUCCAGUCCAGUGUCCAGUCUUGGGUUGUUCACUGGGCUGGGCAUGCCAACCCAGUGAAUGGGUAAGGCAUGUCAGUCUCUGGAGGACACAUAAGUCAGUGAUGUAGUCACAAUUACAUCCAGACACCUUUUGUUCCCAGGUGCCCAUUCACAUCUCGAUCAGCCUAGAGAAAUCUCUAGGACACUUCUGAAGCAAGGCUCAAACUCAUGCCUCUGGAUAUACAACAAAUGCCUUGAGCACCCUAUCACCUGUAUUUAGAAUAAGUCGAAAGUUUACACUGAUGCACUGUUCACCAGACAUGGCCCUUUGAGUGAAACAAAACCACCCUGGGAAACUUUUAAAUCUCAAGCAAAUCUUCUGAGGGGAAAAAAAAAAUUGAAGAUAAACUUGAGGGUUUGGAUUUCACCCCCUCCUUACCCUCCACCACUCAGUUAUCUGAGAGAGAACAUGGGGAAAAAAAGAGGGGGGAGGGGACCAAAGCUUGACUUCUUCAAUUAUUGAAAACUAUAAAUUCAACUUUCCUUUUUCUUCUUUGGAAGUGUAUAGUAUUUUUGAACAGCUUUAUCCUUAAUAAGCGACUGCUGAACAAAGGUAGGGCAGUGUGACAUCUUAGAGAUGGAAAACUAGAUGUACAGGGCUAGAUAUUUUUCUGCAACACAGGGAGAUUUUCCAUAGCCCACAGCUCUAAGCUUAUGUUAGAGGGGAAAUGUGUAUAACAGGGAGCCUUCAUGCCCAACUAGCUUGCUUCCACAGAAAAAGGAACACUACAUUCAAGUAUUCAUAUUCAUCACAUGUUUUACUUCCCUAUGUUUUACUUCUUCUCUGUUCAUCAGAGUACAGAAGCAGAUAGGGAAGAUGAAAUUUCAACUGGAGUUACAUGGUAAGCCACAAAAGGGAAAGCUCAAGAUGCUUUCUCAGAAAAGAAAAAGUAAUCUAAGUCUCUGUUCACUCUCAGUUAGCUCGUAUGAAACAUGCAUCUUCCUAGCUUCAAUAAGUCUCACAAAGAAUAAGUUUUUAAUCAAGGUCUUCCAUCAUGAUAUAUCAUUCAAUAUAUGCAACACAACCUGCUGUUAAUUCAUUCAAAUUAACCUUUUUCUCUUUGCUGAUGUUCAAACACUUCCCCCUCUCUUUUUAUAAGACUACUAGCAAAGUGCCCACAAGAAUGACAGAUGGGCAGCGGAGACAGAGCUCCACCACCUACCGCCCCACGCUGCUGCUGCUCCACAUGCAACCCCACCCCCCAGCUCUGUCUGGCCCCAUGUGCCCCCCACACCUGACACACACCCACCCACACACAUGCAGCCACAUGCCACACCCACCCAGGCACAUGCCACACACACACCCAGCCACACCCACCCAGCCACAUGCCACUCACACACCCAGCCAUACACCCAGCCACACACACCCAGCCACAUGCCACACACACCCACCCACAUGCCACACACACACUAUCACCCACCUGCCACCCACCCAGCCACAUACCACAUACAUACCCAGCCACAUGCCACACCCACCUACCCACACACCACACCAACACCCACCCACAGAUACACCCACCGACCCAGUCAUAUGCCCCCCACCCAGCCACAUGCCCCACACACACACACACACACUCUGCCACAUGCUGCAUGCUGCACACACACAGCCAUAUGCCACUCCAACACCCCCAUGCCACACACACGUGCCUCGCUGCCUGGCCUACCACACCCUGCAGCAGGACUGUCAUGGCGUCGCACUGCUGUCAAACCUGGAGCAGCGAGGCAAGGAGCAGAGGAGGAGCGGAUGCCACAGCUGCAGCUGCUCCUGCCCCAUGCACAGACUGGGGGCCAUGUACCCUCCUUGGCUCCCCAGCACCGCCUCUGGAGGAACCACCAGGCUCCGAGUGUCCCACGGCCCAGCCUGGCUGGGGCCGCAUUCACUGUGACUGGGGCCUCAGCCAGGCUGGGUCAUGCAGGGAUGCAGCGCUGGGGAGCCCAGGGGGCAGUGUGGGCCCCCCUCCCCCAGCUCCUCUGAGGUGCGCACAGUGGUGGGAGCCACCUGCCCCCAGCCCUGGAAGAGCCACUGGGCUCCCUUGGCCCCAGAGCCCAGCUCGGCCUGAGCACUGCCCACCCCCCCACCCCACCAGGAUCAACCCGGCGCAGCCUCAGCCCCAGUCCCCACUGUGGCCCCCCUCCUCUUCCCACCCCACAGCCGCAGCUGGCAAUCGCCCCCCAUGGGCAGGGCGCAUGGCCACAGGGUGCCACACAGAAAGCAGGUGCGGGGGGUGCACCCUGCCCCAUGUUGUAGCUGGCAGGCACUGCUGAAGCAUCCUGUACCUGCUCCUUGCAGCACCCUGCAGCUGCACGCCAUACCCUGCCAUGUGCCACACUCCCCCACAGGGCCAUAAGCUACAGCCCUUGCCUCCCCCCCUGCACAGUGGGGCACAGCCUGGUCCCCACUGCCUCUGCCUCCACCUUUGCCUCCACCUCACCUGUGUGUCUGUCUGUCAAUAAGGUUCCGGGCAGUGCAUGCACAGUUGACCCAGAGCAUUACGGACAGACAGACACACAGCCAGAAGUGCCACAGCUUUUAUUAUAUUAGAAUACUCAUCUCCAAGAAAGAGGAGACAAAUCAUUUAUGCUAUAUAUUCCCUAUGUGCAGUGGUGUAUGUCUUUUCCUAAUAUAAAUGGAGGCUGAAAUAAUAAUGGGCACUUCUACUAGUCUCAUGGGAACUACAGCAUUGUUUUACUGUUUCAGUUCUUUGAGAAUUUCUCCCUCUUCAAUCCCAUCUCUUUCUCUUUUGUUAUCCUGUGACUUCACCAAGCUUAUGCUUGAUUUUUGCUGCUCUGGAAGGAAAUAGCUAUUUAUAAAGUCACAACAGGGUGGAAAAUAUUGCACUGAGGUUAAACUAAUCCCAGUUUAACCUCUUGAUCUUGCCAGUAUGAUUUAUUGUCAUGGGCUGCUGUGUUGUUUGGUUCUAUAUAUACACAUGCACUUCUUACUUUUCUGAUAAACAAUAGAAUAGAAUGUGUAUUGCACUUCAGCUGCCUUCUACAGUAUUCCCUUAGCCCUGUCUGUUCAGUGGAAUACCAGACUACCUAGGCUUUCAUCUCAGCUGUCAAAUCAGCUUAGAACAUUUAUCUUCUUUUGGUAAUUCCACAGACGCAGUAAGUUACUUUGAACUGGACCCUGCCAGCUAAUAUCUAAGAGGGAGAAAUGCAUGUGGGAAGGACAGGAUGGUUGGCAGCAGUUUACUGGCAGACAGAAGUAUGGAGCAGUGCUGAACACUUGUUCUUCAUUCUUCCUUAUUUUCCUAAAUGGAUCAUCACCAUCAAUUAUUCUGAUGCCAAAAAUCUGGAGAACAAAUGGAGAUUUAUCGUCUGACUGAAAUUGCUUCAGUGGUCACUUCUUAUGGUAUAUGGAAAAUGCUUUUGGAGAUCUUUCUAUCACUUGUCUGUCACACACCUUCCACUGAAUGCUUGUAUCCCCCAUUUGCUCUGGUUCAUGGCCUUGGGAAUGGUUGCUGAUACAUGUUGGGGCUUGGGCCCCCUCUUGGCCAAUGCUCUAUUCAUUAGCAAUGACAGGAUGGAUCCUUGUGUGUGUCACCCAGGUAUUCGGGUCCUAUUCAAUCUCACCUGCCAUGACUUGGUCUUAUCUUCUUUAGGAGGCAGGUGACUCUCCGGACCUCACACCCUGGCUUCUUCAUGGUGCUCCAACCUCCCCUAUACCAUACCCUUACUACAUCCAGGGCCUGAACUGAUGUCAGCGUCUUGAUGUUUAAGGCCACAGACAAUAAUUCUGUCAUCCUUCAUCAACAGUCUUUGAUGAGGACCCAUCUAUAGCGAUCCAUGCAUUUGUUGUCUUCAAGCUGGAAUACUUCAAUUCACUGUAGCUGAAGGUGAAUGUGAUGAUGUAGCACAGACUCUGACUAAAACAGAACAUGGCUGACUGCCUGCCUUUUUCUGUUCAAGUUCCUCCACUGGCUGUCAGUCAUUUCAGAUACUGGUUUACUGAUCUAGUCCACGACCUUCAAUGCUGUGAAAGAAGUCCCAAGUGCACUAAAGAUUGAAUGGCAAGCUACAAACCACUGACACAGUUCUGCUUUUCAGGGAGAACGCAGAUCAAAGUCUCAGCUAUGCUUUGAUGCAGAUGAUAUGAUCUUAAAGCACUUCAUAAAGUUAGGGUCUUUUGGAUGAGAAUACUAUAUGAUAAGGGUUAUUAUGUACUCCUCUUAGAACCAGGCCAGGCUGGGAUGGGAGUUGGCUGUUUAGCAACCACAGUCCAAGUUGCUGCCACAGGGGAUGCUGGCACCUCCUGUAUGGAGGGGCUGGUUUUCAGAGGGGCAGCUGAUGGCCAGGGCUGGUGAUAAUGGUAUUUCAGCUUUUGGAGGGGUCCUGUGAGCUGGGUGGGUCAGAUCCAAGACCCAAGCCAUACUUUGCUCACCCCUGGUUUAGGGCCUCCACUAUUGCUGUUGACUUCCUAGUGGCUCAGACACUACGGUGAUAUACAGUACACUAGCCAAUUGCCCACCAAGAAUGACAGGGGGGAGAGGAGGCAGUUGGGGACAGAGGCCUGCAUCCAGGCCCGGCCCCCCCCAUCUUCAGAGCUAGGCCCACUCCCCCUCUCCCCCCUGCCACUUUGGGGCUAAGGCCAGGCCAUUCCCCCUUCCAUCUGCUGCCCUACUCCUCCAUCUUCUCCAUCACUGCCGCCUGCCAGUGGGGGUGGGGACAGAGGCCUGGGGCCACGCUCACUUCCACCACCCGCACCACUUUGGGGCCAAGGCCACUCGCCCCACCCCCACCUACAGGGCUGGCAGGGAAAGAGCCGAGCAUCCGGCCCUGUGCCCUUGCUCCCAUCAUCCAGCUGCGCCCCCCCCAUCAGGCUCGACCCUGUUCCCCCACCCCCCACAUUGCUUUGGGCCUAACCCUGUUCCCCCCAAGCAGUUCAGGUUCAGGGCCACUCCCCCUCUCCCCCUCUUGCCAUGGUGACCCUCCCACUCCCUCCCUCUCGCACCACUGCCGCCUGCUCCAUGGAGUGGGGGGAAUGCUCCUCCUUUCCCCCACUGCCAUGGAGCCGAGCCUGCCCCCCACACCUCCCUGCCACUGUUUUGGGGUCGAGCCCACCCCCCCAACCUCCUCACUGCCAUUUCCAAGCUGGGCUGUGCUGGGUACGGCACACACCCCACUAUACCCUCUGUUUUGAGGCCAGGCUGGACCUGGUAAGCCCUGCCACCACUGUUGUGGGGCAGGCGCUGGGCCGGCCCCUCCCCCCACCUUCCUCACCACUGUUUUGGGGCCAGAUCAGGCUGGGCUGGGCUGCUCCCCCCCAGCCUUCGUUUCAGGGCCAGACUGGGCUUGGCUGGGCCCAGUAUGCCCCCCUCCACCCUUUCUGCCACCAUUUCAGGACUGGGCCCACUCCUCCCAUCCCUCCACCCCACCCCCUUAUUGACCUGAGCCCACUGCUCCCCACCCCCACUGCCAUGGCAGGCUGGCUUCUCCCCCCCUCAGGCCAGCUCCUCCUCUUCCCCCCACCAUGACCUCAUUGGCCCGGGCCCACUGCUCCUCCCUCCCCAUGUCAGGAGGGAGCAGCAUGGGAGAUAGAGAGAGCAGCGCUGGCCUUGGCCCCCCUCCCCCUUCUAUAUUCACCACCUGCAGAGAUCAGAAGUCCUGACCCCGCUCCGCCCCAUGCUGCUACUGCCACUUCCAAGAAGCAAGGGGGAGGCUGCGCUGACCUUGCCCCCUCCCUGCUCCAUCCUCUGUGUCCCCACCAUCAUGGUGGCACUCCACCAUGCCACCACAUCCUGGCUGAAUAAUGUAUUCACGCUCUGAUUGGUCGUUUCCAUCAGCCAAUCAGAGUGUGAAUAAAGCAUUAUGGGCAGACAGACAGACAGACAAGCUAAGGCUUUUAUAAUAUUAGGAUCCUUACCGUAGCAGGUUGGGGAAUGUUCUUUAAAAUUCAACUCAGUUCUUAAUUGUUCUGUGCACCCUUGCCUCAGGAAACACCAGAACAUAAAAUCAUAGAAUCAUAGGGCUGGAAGGCACCCCGAAAGAUCAUUGGGUCCAGCCCCCUGCAUGAGCAGGAAGGACAUCUGGGGUCAGAUGACCCCAGCCAGGGGACCAUCCAGUCUCCUCUUGAAGACCUCUAGGGUAAAUGAUUGCACCACCUCUGCAGGAGCUUGUUCCAUAGUCUGGACACCCUAGUUGUAAAGAAGUUUUGCCUAAUGUUCAGCCUAAAACUAUCUUCCAGGAGUUUGAGGCCAUUGUUUCUAGUUUUCCCCCAGGGCACCCUGGUGAACAGUUGUUCACCAAGCUCCUGAUGCACACCUCUGAUAUAGAGGUAAGCCGCAAUCAGGUCCCCUCUCAGCCUUCUUUUCUUCAGGCUGAAGAGUCCGAGAUUCCUCAGCCUCUCUUCAUAUGGCUUGCCAUGCAAGUCACUGAUAAUGCAGGUGACCCUUCGCUGGACCCUCUCGAGCUUUAGCACAUCCUUGUUGAAGUGCGGCGCCCAGAACUGGAUGCAGUACUCCAGCUGUGGCCACACCAAUGUUGAGUAAAGUAGAAGAAUCACUUCUUUGGGUUUACUGGAGAUGCAUCAAUUGAUGCAUGCCAGAGUUUUAUUGGCCCUAGCAGCUACUGCAUCGCAUUGCCAGCUCAUAUUCUACUGGUGUCUAUUGUAACCCCCAGAUCCCUUUAAUUUGUAGUGCUGGUCAGGAUAGUGAUGCCCAGCCUGUAGGUGCACUGGAGGUUCUUCCUUCCAAGAUGCAGCACUUUGCAUUUCUCUACGUUGAACCACAUUUGAUUCUGUUCUGCGCCAACAUGCCAGCCUGUCUAGGUCUGCUUGUAUCUGCAGCCUAUCUGCAGGUGUGUCCACACAACCCAAUAUCUUGGUGUCGUCCAUGAACUUGGCCAAUGGGCUUUUCACCUCCUCGUCCAGAUUGUUGAUGAAGAUAUUGAACGGCACUGGGCCAAGUACUGACCCCUGGGGUAUGCUGCUGCCCACAUCUCAUCAGGAUGACACCGAUCCAUUCAUUUGGACUCUCUGUGUCCUGCCCCGCAACCAGUUUCGCACCCACUUGACAGUCCUGCAGUUCAGCCCGAUAUCUUCCAGUUUUCUGAUCAGUACCUCAUGGGAUACCAGGUCAAAGGCUUUCUGGAAGUCAAGGCAUAUGAUAUCAACAUAAAUCCUCAAAUCCAUAAACAAACAUAAACGUAGUCCCUACUGAGUUCUCCCAGACCCUGAGAAGGUGGCUCUAGCUCUCUGCUGCUCUCUCAGCCCCAAAGUCUCCCUUCUCUUUCUCUGGAGUGAGUUCCCUAGUGCUGGGAUCUCUUGACAGAUUCUGAGAGCAUACCCUGACCUGGCAUUGCAGCUAUUAGUAUGGUAGUUCUCUCCCUUAGUUCUUAGGUCUCCAUCCCUUUAUUCCUGGGAGUCUUUUAACUUCCCUUUGUGCCAGCUAAUUAUUCCUUUCAGCUGG